rnacentral:rRNA from 1 species
CGGACGGGUGAGUAACACGUGGAUAACCUACCUAUAAGACUGGGAUAACUUCGGGAAACCGGAGCUAAUACCGGAUAAUAUUUUGAACCACAUGGUUCAAAAGUGAAAGACGGUCUUGCUGUCACUUAUAGAUGGAUCCGCGCUGCAUUGGCUAGUUGGUAAGGUAACGGCUUACCAAGGCAACGAUGCAUAGCCGACCUGAGAGGGUGAUCGGCCACACUGGAACUGAGACACGGUCCAG